AGAGCGAACGCUGGCGGCAGGCUUAACACAUGCAAGUCGAGCGCCCCGCAAGGGGAGCGGCAGACGGGAGAGUAACACGUGGGAACGUACCUUUCGGUUCGGAACAACCCAGGGAAACUUGGGCUAAUACCGGAUACGUCCGUAAGGAGAAAGAUUUAUCGCCGAAAGAUCGGCCCGCGUCUGAUUAGCUAGUUGGUGAGGUAACGGCUCACCAAGGCGACGAUCAGUAGCUGGUCUGAGAGGAUGAUCAGCCUCACUGGGACUGAGACACGGCCCAGACUCCUACGGGAGGCAGCAGUGGGGAAUAUUGGACAAUGGGCGCAAGCCUGAUCCAGCCAUGCCGCGUGGGUGAUGAAGGCCCGUAGGGUUGUAAACCGCUUUCACCAGGGACGAAGCGAGAGUGACGGUACCUGGGGAAGAAGCGCCGGCUAACUACGCGCCAGCAGCCGC
rnacentral:rRNA from 1 species